rfam:Ornithorhynchus anatinus Cont1.119, whole genome shotgun sequence.
GCCGGGCGCGGUGGCGCGCGCCUGUAGUCCCAGCUACUCGGGAGGCUGAGGCUGGAGGAUCGCUUGAGCUCAGGAGUUCUGGGCUGCAGUCCGCUAUGCCGAUCGGGUGUCCGCACUAAGUUCGGUAUCAAUAUGGUGAUCCUCCGGGAGCGGAGGGUUACCAGGUUGCCUAAGGAGGGGUGAACCGGCCCAGGUCGGAAACGGAGCAGGUCAAAACUCCCGUGCCGAUCAGUAGUGGGAUCGCGCCUGUGAAUAGUUGCUGCAGUCUAGCCUGGGCAAGAUAGUGAGACACGGUCUCUUU